AGUGAACGCUGGCGGUAGGCCUAACACAUGCAAGUCGAACGGCAGCACAGUAAGAGCUUGCUCUUACGGGUGGCGAGUGGCGGACGGGUGAGGAAUACAUCGGAAUCUACUUUUUCGUGGGGGAUAACGUAGGGAAACUUACGCUAAUACCGCAUACGACCUACGGGUGAAAGCAGGGGAUCUUCGGACCUUGCGCGAUUGAAUGAGCCGAUGUCGGAUUAGCUAGUUGGCGGGGUAAAGGCCCACCAAGGCGACGAUCCGUAGCUGGUCUGAGAGGAUGAUCAGCCACACUGGAACUGAGACACGGUCCAGACUCCUACGGGAGGCAGCAGUGGGGAAUAUUGGACAAUGGGCGCAAGCCUGAUCCAGUCAUACCGCGUGGGUUAAGAAGGCCUUCGGGUUGUAAAGCCCUUUUGUUGGGAAAGAAAAGCAGCAGGUUAAUACCCCGCUGUUCUGACGGUACCCAAAGAAUAAGCACCGGCUAACUUCGUG
rnacentral:rRNA from 1 species